GGUGUGGGGCGCUUGUCGCGGCCCUGCCGUUUAAGAUGCAUCAGCUACACUUUUCCUUCGCUCAUGGCUUUGAAGCAGAUCUGCCACUGAAUAUGGAGACUUGAUGCUGGUUCACAAGGAUUUGAAUUGUAUGCUUGGAAGACUUGCAGCAGAAACAUCACCUGGAACUGGGAGAUGAAGCUAUAAGCUGUGCAAGGCUGCCCUGGACAGAGGAUACCUGUGUCUCCAGUGUGAGAAGCUAUUUCACCUGUUACUGAUGUUGGUGAAGACAAGGCCUUCCUCACUGAAGGCUUCUGAAGUGUUUCUCAUUGUGAUGGCUGGUGCGGUGGAGCUCUGGAGUGAUGGAGUUGGUAGUGCUACCAGCAAAAAGUGAAGCUCGUGGGGAGUUUGUGUGAGAAACAAGACUAACUUAGGUCUGAGGUAAGUGUAGAGCACAUGGGGCUUGAUAAUUACUGGAGUAUUGUCUUUGUGCUAAAUGCCUAGGUAGUGGUGCCUAAAAUUAGUCCUGUAAUAUGAUUUGUCUUCCUUUAUUGUAUUCUGAUUCUCCCACUCUCAGCUACUGUGGGAAUAAACAUGAUGUGCUUGAAGCAAGAAUGCACUGCAUUUCUAUGUAGUUCUGAAUUUGACAUGAAAAGGAAGGACUUUUUCUGAGCAGAUCCCUGACAGUUCCUGAACUGUAGUCAAGGGUAAACUUUAUGUAGAGUUGUCUUUGUAUGAACAGAAGUUGUGGCCUGAAUGACUCUUAAAAACUGCAUUUUUAUUGCUGAAUGUCUUCACACAGUGGAAGUAGUAAAGGAACUGAAUCAGUGGACACCCCUUAGCCAAUACAGUGUUGAUAAUGUAGUACAGCAGAAUGCACAGCAGCAAACAUAUCUGAUACGAGUUAUGACAGGAGUUGUA